rnacentral:rRNA from 1 species
AACGGCCAUACCAUGCUGAAUAUACGGUUCUCGUUAGAUCACCGAAGUCAAGCAUCAUUGGGCGUGGUCAGUACUUGUGGGGAACACCUGGGAACAAUGCGUGCCGUU